AGGGCACCACCAGGAGUGGAGCCUGCGGCUUAAUUUGACUCAACACGGGAAAUCUCACCAGGCCCGGACACCGGAAGGAUUGACAGAUUGAGAGCUCUUUCUUGAUUCGGUGGGUGGUGGUGCAUGGCCGUUCUUAGUUGGUGGAGCGAUUUGUCUGGUUAAUUCCGAUAACGAACGAGACUCUGGCCUACUAACUAGACGUUAGAUCCCUUUGUGGGUCUAUCGCAGCUUCUUAGAGGGACGGGCGGCGUUUAGCCGCACGAGAUUGAGCAAUAACAGGUCUGUGAUGCCCUUAGAUGUUCUGGGCUGCACGCGCGCUACACUGAAGGAAUCAGCGUGUGUUCCCUGUCCGAAAGGACUGGGAAACCCGUUGAACCUCCUUCGUGAUGGGGAUUGGGGAUUGCAAUUAUUCCCCAUGAACGAGGAAUUCCCAGUAGGCGCGAGCCAUAAGCUUGCGUCGAUUACGUCCCUGCCCUUUGUACACACCGCCCGUCGCUACUACCGAUCGAGUGAUUUAGU
rnacentral:rRNA from 1 species